rnacentral:misc_RNA from 1 species
AACUGAUACUACCUGCGGGAACCUGCGGAGGGAUCAUUACUGAAGUGAUUUGGGGAUGUUGCUGGCCCUCUCUCAAGGGGGGGCACUGUGCACUCCUCGAAACAAUUCACAAUUUCCAUCACACCCCUUGUGCACACCCUGUAGGCACCCAAACCCACCUCCGGGUGGUGGGGUCCUAUGUAUUCCUUCAUCUCACACUCUGUUGAAUGGUGCCAUGGGACGCAUCUAAAGGAUUAUUUG